AUUGAACGCUGGCGGCAGGCCUAACACAUGCAAGUCGAACGAGUGGCGGACGGGUGAGUAAUGUCUGGGAAACUGCCUGAUGGCGGGGGAUAACUACUGGAAACGGUAGCUAAUACCGCAUACCAUCAGAUGUGCCCAGAUGGGAUUAGCUAGUUGGUGGGGUAACGGAUCACCAAGGCGACUAUCCCUAGCUGGUCUGAGAGGAUGACCAGCGACACUGAAACUGAGACACAGUCCAGACACCUGCGGGAGGCAGCAGUGGGGAAUAUUGCACAGUGGGAGCAAGCCUGAUGCAGCGAUACCGCGUGUAUGAAGAAGGCCUUCGGGUUGUAAAGUACUUUCAGCGGGGAGGCGUUACCCGCAGAGGAAGCACCGGCUAACUCCGUGCCAGCAGCCGCGGUAAUAC
rnacentral:rRNA from 1 species